CUUCUCCUGAAUCGUCCGUAUAAUACGGGGUUGCAUUAAUUCAAUGAAACUGUUUUUGUCGCUGUUUCCGAUAAGUCUUUCAGUUACCUCCGUAUCAUGCACAACAUGCACCGUGGUUUUUUUUUCGACAACCAGUAAUUUUUUUUUAAAUUUCACCACGCGAUUCGUUUUAAGUAUCAGGAAUAUACAAUAGAACACAUUUUGCACAUGUA
rnacentral:lncRNA from 1 species